AUGAAUAGAUAUAAUGAUCAUUCGUGGGUGAUAUAGGUGAAUUUUAUAGUGAAAUAUCUACCCCGUAGAAUGUUAUAAUUCAAAAUAGUAGAUUUGGACGUUGAGAGGAAUAUACACUUUUUGUUACCUACUUGAAAGUUUGGGUGGUUGCAUGAUGUCUGAUAAUCGGCCUUUAGAACCACUGGAUUAAUUUCAACCACACUUGGCACAACGCAUCCUUGGGUGACUGGAUUUCACUUUGAAGUGUCAUGCCUCCUUCAAAGGGGAGAUAAUCACAAAAAUGCAACAUUAGGGUUGACACGUCACUUUCAUCGACAAUUUACAACAAUUCGAAAACUUUGGGCAAAAUUCAAUCAAACAGGAAAUGUUCGGAAUACUAGCAGGAUCACAACAUCAUUCUAAACAAUUUCAGAGAUAGAUAUAAAUCAGUUAUUGCAACGGCAAGAUAAUGAAAUGGUCGUCUGAUAUCCCUUCAAACAGUAUGCAAAUGUCUUACAGAGUUACAACAAAGGCCUCACAGAGGUACAGCUACAUGUGUGUGUAGGACGUUCAAUGAGAGGUUUAGCACUGGCCAAGAGACAUCAGCUAUAGACAUUACGUCUGGCGUGAGCACGAAGACAUCAAAGAUUUAACAGAGCUGAUUGGGCAAUGUCCUCUGUGUAGACGAGACAAAACUCAAGUUACGGAUUUCUGAUGGUAGAAGAGGAUGUAUCACUAAUGAGAACACCAAGUGAAAAAUAACCUCUGAUACAUUUUAUCAUUACAUUCAUUAUAAACAAAUUAGAAAGAUCUGCACAAAAAUAUCUAACUGUUAAUAGAGCCAGAGAAGGUUAUACAUGUGCACUGUACUAAUUGUGUUUAAUGAUUUCUCAUUUUGAGGCAUGAAAAUGCAUGUUUAGAGGUCUUAAGAGACACUUACUGGCGAUUUACGCAACAUCCAAUAGAAACAUGUAUUAUUAACUGAAUAAAAGCAUUAUGGGUUGCUUUUAUUCCUUUCAUUAAAACAUUACUGGGACCUUUAGUUCAGUGUCAUUAUAUUUUCAUCACAUUGUACUUGUUACAUGUGUUAUAUGAGAGGAAUUAUAUUGAUUUAUUGUAUUGACA